rnacentral:tRNA from 1 species
CGCCGCCGGGUCGGCCUAUGGCUACGCGCUGCUGGCGGUGGUGCUGCUGGCGAGCGUGAUGGCGAUGGUGUUGCAGGCGCUGGCGGCGU